GAGAAGCUGUGAUGGCCGAGAGGUUAAGGCGUUGGAUUUGAAAUCCAAUGAGGUCUCCCCGCGCAGGUUCGAACCCUGCUCACCUCG